rnacentral:rRNA from 1 species
UACGAAGGGUGCAACCGUUGCUCGGAAUUAUUGGGCGUAAAGCGCGCGUAGGCGGCUUGGUCAGUCCCGUGUGAAAUCCCUCGGCUCAACUGAGGAACUGCACGGGAAACUGCCUGGCUUGAGUUCGGGAGAGGGAAGCGGAAUUCCGGGUGUAGCGGUGAAAUGCGUAGAUAUCCGGAGGAACACCGGUGGCGAAGGCGGCUUCCUGGACCGACACUGACGCUGAGGCGCGAAAGCUAGGGGAGCAAACGGG